AUUGAACGCUGGCGGAAUGCUUUACACAUGCAAGUCGAACGGCAGCACGGACUUCGGUCUGGUGGCGAGUGGCGAACGGGUGAGUAAUACAUCGGAACGUGCCCAGUCGUGGGGGAUAACGUAGCGAAAGCUACGCUAAUACCGCAUACGAUCUACGGAUGAAAGCGGGGGAUCGCAAGACCUCGCGCGAUUGGAGCGGCCGAUGGCAGAUUAGGUAGUUGGUAGGGUGAAGGCCUACCAAGCCGACGAUCUGUAGCUGGUCUGAGAGGAUGAUCAGCCACACUGGGACUGAGACACGGCCCAGACACCUACGGGAGGCAGCAGCGGGGAAUUUUGGACAAUGGACGCAAGUCUGAUCCAGCCAUUCCGCGUGCAGGAUGAAGGCCCUCGGGUUGUAAACUGCUUUUGUACAGAACGAAAAGGCUCUGGUUAAUACCUGGGGCUCAUGACGGUACAGUAAGAAUAAGCACCGGCUAACUACGUGCCAGCCGCCGCGGUAA
rnacentral:rRNA from 1 species